GACGAAGGUGGCGAGCGUUGUUCGGAAUCACUGGGCAUAAAGCGCACGUAGGCGGCGAUGUAAGUCGGGUGUGAAAUCCCUCGGCCCAACCGAGGAACUGCGCCCGAAACUGCAUUGCUUGAGGAUCAAAGGGGUGCUCGGAAUUUCCGGUGGAGCGGUGAAAUGCGUUGAUAUCGGAAGGAACGUCGGCGGCGAAAGCGGAGCACUGGUUGAUUUCUGACGCUGAGGUGCGAAAGCCAGGGGAGCAAACGGG
rnacentral:rRNA from 1 species